rnacentral:rRNA from 1 species
GACGAACGCUGGCGGCGUGCUUAACACAUGCAAGUCGAACGGAAAGGCCCUGCUUAUGUGGGGUGCUCGAGUGGAGAAGGGGUGAGUAACACGUGAGUAACCAGUCAUUGCCUUUGGGAUAACCUCAGGAAACUGGGGCUAAUAACGGAUAGGAGCUACUGCUGCAUGGUGGGGGCUGGAAAGUUUAGGCGGUUGGGGAUGGACUGGCGGACUAUCAGCUUGUUGGUGGGGUAGUGGCAUACCAAGGCUUGGACGGGUAGCCGGCCUGCUAGGAUGACCGGACACAUUGGGACUGAGAUACGGCCCAGACUCGUACGGGAGGCAGCGGUGGGGAAUAUUGCACAGUGGGCGGAAGCAUGAUGCAGCAACGCCGCGUGCGGUAUGACAGCCUUCGGGUUGUGAACCGCUUUCGCCUGUGACGAAGCGUUAGUGACGGUAACGGGUGAAGAAGCACCGGCUAACUACGUG